GACGAACGCUGGCGGCGUGCCUAAUACAUGCAAGUAGAACGCUGAAGGAGGAGCUUGCUUCUCUGGAUGAGUUGCGAACGGGUGAGUAACGCGUAGGUAACCUGCCUGGUAGCGGGGGAUAACUAUUGGAAACGAUAGCUAAUACCGCAUAAGAGUAGAUGUUGCAUGACAUUUGCUUAAAAGGUGCAAUUGCAUCACUACCAGAUGGACCUGCGUUGUAUUAGCUAGUUGGUGAGGUAACGGCUCACCAAGGCAACGAUACAUAGCCGACCUGAGAGGGUGAUCGGCCACACUGGGACUGAGACACGGCCCAGACUCAUACGGGAGGCAGCAGUAGGGAAUCUUCGGCAAUGGACGGAAGUCUGAACGAGCAACGCCGCGUGAGUGAAGAAGGUUUUCGGAUCGGAAAGCUCUGUUGUAAGAGAAGAACGAGUGUGAGAGUGGAAAGUUCACACUGUGACGGUAUCUUACCAGAAAGGGACGGCUAACUACGUG
rnacentral:rRNA from 1 species